rnacentral:sRNA from 1 species
GCUGGGCAUGGUAGCACACACCUGUAAUCCCAGCAACAAGGGAGGCCAAGGUGGGAGGAUAAUUUGAGCCCAGGAGUCUGUGGUGAGCUUUGGCAACAUAACAAGACCUAACAC